UAUUAUUAUUAAGGGGCGUAUAUUCAAGUCUAUUUAAUUACAAACCAACGCUUGUUGUAGCUCGGGCGCUGAGCUGUGUUUUCACGUGUAUGUUUUGGAACAUACAAGGAAACGUAUAAGAAUGUAAUAGUGCACAAAAGGUCCAAAUAUAACAUUUAGGGACGUUUUGCAGGAACCUCAGUGAACGGCUUGAGGAAGCCUCAGACGAUCGACGACGCCUGAAUAUGACCAGCUUUCCUUGUACACAGUGAUCAAUAAAAAGUAUCAACAUUUAAAAAUGAAGAAGCUAAGAAGACAAAAUUGUCAGAUAGCAUUCAAAAGAGGCAGAGGACGGAGCAGUUCCUCCAACCACACAGAGCAGCAUAUUCUUUUUCGCUCUCCCUCUCCAUGUAGAUUCAAUUUCUCCAUGUCCAGAGACACACUCACAUAUGCCCAGUCUCAAAAAAUGGUGGAGGUAGAGCUUGAGGGGAGAGUUCAUCGGAUUAACAUUUCUGACCCACUCAGAGUCAUCACAGAGGAUGAGAUGCUGGCACAGGACCUAGCAGAGUGCAACAGCAAUAAGGAGAACAGUGAGCAAAUUGCAAGCUAUGCUCAGAAGGACCAGACAGUCUCCUCACCUAAGAACAGGAGAAAAGACAGCAAACAUAGUAAUAGGGGCAGACGCUCCAGUGGCCAACAAUACACCCACAACCAUCACACUCAGUUAGUGAGCCCUCUUCCUAAGCCCAGCGUCCACAGGGUGGACACCUACGCGCCAUCAGAGGCUUGUCCUCUUCCUGUGGCAUACUAUCGCUACAUGAAGAUGUCCCAUGAAGAGCUGGAGAUGAAGGCAGAGUAUGACAUGGAUGAGGAAGACCUGGCUUGGCUGGAGAUUGUCAAUAAGAAACGUGUGUCUGACGGGCAUGCCUCAGUCUCUCCUGACACAUUUGAGUUAUUGAUUGACAGGUUGGAAAGGGAAGCCAUUCUGGAGUCCCGUAGCUUAGCCUUGUCCCAGAGCCCCAUCGAUGAGGAUGCUUUCUGCUGUGUGUGCCUGGAUGACGAGUGCCUUAACAGCAAUGUUAUCCUGUUUUGUGACAUCUGCAACUUGGCUGUGCACCAGGAGUGUUAUGGAGUACCCUACAUACCUGAAGGCCAGUGGUUAUGUCGCCGCUGUCUGCAGUCCCCCUCCCAGCCUGUGGACUGCGUCCUUUGCCCAAAUAGAGGAGGUGCCUUUAAACAAGCCAGUGAUGGCCGCUGGGCCCAUGUAGUUUGCGCUAUCUGGAUACCUGAAGUUUGCUUUGCUAAUACAGUAUUCCUGGAACCUGUAGAAGGUGUUAAUAACAUUCCCCCUGCAAGAUGGAAGCUCACUUGCUACCUAUGCAAGCAGAGAGGGAGAGGGGCAUCCAUUCAGUGCCACAAGGCCAACUGCUACCGUGCAUUUCAUGUUACCUGUGCUCAACGAGCUGGGCUCUUCAUGAAGAUUGACCCAGUGCGUGAGACUAGCAGCAGCCACACCACAGUCACUGUGAAGAAGACUGCCUUCUGUGGAAACCAUUCUCCUCUUGGAGCACAAGUGGGGUACAGUGAAGAAGGUGGAGGAUUUGUAGGAGGUAGGGGUCAAAGGUCAUAUACUUUAGGACCAACAGUUCAGGAAAACAAAAAGGGUUUGGUUACACAGCAAAAAAAGAAGACAAGAAAGAGUGCAGAUGGUGUGUCACGGAAGUCAGCAAUGCCUCUAUUCCUUGUGCCCCAAAUCCCAUCCUACAGGCUUAAUAAGAUUUGCACAGGCGUGCCAGUACAGAGGAAGAACCAGUUCAUGCAAAGGCUUCAUAAUUAUUGGCUGCUAAAACGUCAUUCUCGUAAUGGAGUUCCACUCAUCCGUCAGCUCCACUCACACCUACAGGUUCAGCAGACUGAAAAGAGCAAGCCAGAUUCCAAGGUGCAGGCAUUGAGGGUAGAGCUGAAAUACUGGCAGAAGCAGCGGCAAGACCUAGAGAAAGCUCGACUUUUAAUUGAACUAAUUCGCAAGAGAGAGAGGCUCAAACGUGAACAGCUGAAACUGCAGCAGGUGACACUGGAGCUCCAGCUCACUCCGGCCUUAGUACUGCUGCGCUCUACUCUGGAGCAACUGCAAGAGAAAGACAGCACUUGCAUCUUCAUUUCUCCAGUCAAUUUGUCUGAGGUUCCAGAUUAUCUGGAGUUUGUUUCUGAGCCCAUGGACUUCUCCACCAUGCGUGAGAAGCUGGAGGCACAUAAGUAUUGCUCUGUGGCAGAUCUGGAAGCUGACUUCAACUUAAUGGUGUCAAACUGCCUGCGGUACAAUUCCAGUGACACAGUGUUCCACAAAAGUGCCAUGCAGCUCAAGGAGGUGGGUGGUGCCAUCUUGCGACAUGCCCAACGCCAGGCUCUCAGAAUAGGCUUCGACCUUUCCACAGGGAUGCAUCUUCCAGAUGCCAGCAAAGUGAAUUCCAAACAGUCCUGCUGGGGCAAGGUGGAUGUGCUUCUGGAUCCUAGAAACAGAUUUCACAUGUCUCCAAAGGAACAGCUGAAGCAUCUGCUUGAAAAGCUGGACAUGGUGACAUCCAUGUGUGCCAGCGGAAGACGCACAAAACAGCUGCGACUGCUGCGAAGGGAAAUAAACAGUAUUCGGCACAAGCUCCGCAACCAGCGGCGCACUUCACGAUUGCUCGGUGGUAACAUAAAAAAUGAAGACAAACAUGAGGAGGAAGGGUGGAACCAAAAUAUUAAAUAUGCAGCAUCAAUUCCAGAGUCCAGAAAUUCUACACAUCAAAAAACUCAAGAGUCCACGUGUCUCACCUCCUCUCCUUUACCAGGCGAUGCCCCACCAAAUGAUUCAGUCUUCGGCCUGGAAACAGGAGGAAUGACCACCCAGGGUCAGUUUUAUGAACAGCAAGGAAGCAGAGGCCGGGGCAGAGGUAAAGGCAAGGCAAAAAAUCACACUAAGACUCCUGCCCAUACAGAAAUAGAUAAUAAACUUCACCUGAAGGAACGACACACUCUGGCCAUAUCCUCUCUAGAUGGUUCACCUUUUAUGCCCAAGCUGGGUGUAGGCCGCCGCACAUCAAUACUAUUCAAGAAAGCUAAAAAUGGAGACAAACUGGCCAAAAGCAAGCUAUUUUCACUUCAGAACAGAGUCAGUGCUGACCAACUAAGUGAACAACUGCCAGAUCAUAGAUCUCAGACAAGCCUGCUUUGCACACCACCAACCUCAAAAUCCACUUCCAAAGAGAAUGGCUUGACAAAAGGUCUUAAAAACCAGAACAAUAGUGUUCCAGAGUCAGAGAGCUGCUCUACUUCUUAUCAAAACAACAUCAGUUCUUCACCUCCCAGACUCAGUCAGUGCAAACCAUCUUUAAACAAGGUCCCAGCAGGAGUGGGAGAGAACACACAGAAGUCUGAUUCAGUGACAAACCUGGAGCCGCUCAGCUUGGUUUGGGCUAAAUGCAGGGGCUAUCCAUCAUAUCCUGCAAUGACAAUAGAUCCUGACAUGCCUAAAGAAGGAAUCCUUCCUAAUGGCAUUGUAAUCCCAGUACCACCUCAAGAUGUGCUGAAACUAGGUCAGCGCAUACAGGUGGAGACUGAAGACAAGCUAUUCCUUGUCCUGUUUUUCGACACAAAAAGAACUUGGCAGUGGCUACCAAUGGGCAAACUCCAUCCAAUGGGAAUCGAUGACACUGUGGAUAAACGUCACCUGAUGGAAGGCAAAAAGCCGAAUGUGCGCAAGUCUGUACACACGGCAUAUGAGCGAGCAAUGAGGCACCUCAGCCGUGUGCAUGAAAACAUGAACUUCAGGCCACCCUCUUUCAUUUAAAUCACUUCACAGUGAGAUACAACUCAAAAAGACUGUUGUGUAGUGGUCGAAAGUGAAUCCUUAGAAAUGCAUGUAGAUCUUUUAUUUUACGUGUCAGAAUGAUAACUUAUAUUCUGUGAAAAGAAGUUGGCUAUAGUUUUCUCUUGCGAUUAAAAAUGUGCUGACCCAUCUAUAAAAAAGUAAAACUAAAUUCUCAGAUAUCUGCACUGAAUGUCACUGGUUACAUUUAGGCUUACAUGCAGCCCUGGAUCAUGUUUUUGUUGAGAGAGAAUUAAAAAAAGGACCCUAUCAAAAGUAGAUUAAAAUGUUUAACUGACAAGCAUGCUGUAUUUUACAAAUGCAAAACUUUAACUGAUUUAUGUGGAUUGAUGCAAUGUGCAGAUAAAUGAAGAGAUAAAUGCCAGCAGAGAUUAGUGUGUGUGUAUAUAUAUAUAUAUAUGUGUGUGUGUUUGUGUGUGUGUGUGUCUGAUUUGUGAGUGUAUGUGUGUUUAUCAGCCAUAAGCCAUAACAUUAAAACGUCCACCCUGGGUCCACCUUGUGCCUCCAAAAAAUCUCUGAUACACCGAGGCACUGAGACUUCACAUGUUGUGAGAUUGGACCCUCAUUGAAUUGACUUGUUUGCACAGAACAUCCCAUAUAUGCAUGUAUGGACUGAGAUCUGGGGAAUUUGGAAGCCAAGUUUCACAUAUUGCUCAAACCAUUUCUGAACAUUUUUUGCAGUGUGGCAGGCACAUUAUCCAGCUGGAAAAAAGCCCACUGCCAUUAUGGAAUACCAUCACAAUGAAGGGGUGUACUUUAUCUGCAACAAUAUUUAGGUACUUUUGGCAGUGGCCAGGUGUCAGCAUGGACACGCUGUUGAAUCAGUGGCUACACAGCAAGCUCUGAUGUGUGUUUUGGAUACCUUUCUGUCAUAGAAAAAGCUUUUCAGCAAUUUGUGCUACAGUAUCUCUUCUGUUGGAUCAUGGGCUAGCCUUGCUCCAUGUGCAACAGUGAGCCUUCAGAUCCAUGAUCCUUUAACUGGAUCAUUAGUUGUCCUUAUUUGUAUCUUGUAAGUAUUAUCCAUACAUACUAGGAACACCUCUCAAGACCUGCUAUUUUGGAGAUGUGCUGAUGCAGUCGUUUAGACAGUCAGGCAGAUCCUUCCACUUACACAUUUUUUUUUGCUUUCAAAACAACUCUGAUGAUUGACUGUUAUCCCAAUAUAACCUUUAUGUUAUGGCUUAUUGGUGUGUACGUAUGUAUGUAUACACUCUUAAGAUUUGAUAUGUGUUUAUAUUUGUAUGUAUGUG